rnacentral:rRNA from 1 species
AUGGACACGUCGAGCUGGAGGCGCCGGAGCCUGGAGCGGUCAGGCUCCGUGCUGACAAGGUCGUUCGAAGUGCCCGACCCAAAGCCAGCCCCUGCAGCGGCCGCCAUCACCAAUGCCACGGUGCCCCCGCUGACCGGCAGCUCAGAGUUCUACCACUUCCACCAUGCCGAAGACCUGCUCGACCAACGGUUCAGCUCCAACUCUCUCGUCAAAGACUUCCCGGUGACCCUGGACGCCGCGUUCCCGGGCCCCGCCAAGAAGCCACGGCGUCUAGGCAAGGCGUGGAGCCUCUGGAGCUUCAUACACCGCCGGGCCACGGGCUGCCGGGGCAGCCCGUCCGACGCCGCGGACCGCGCGUUCUCGGCGCCGUAG